UACAGGGGGGGCAAGCGUUGUUCGGAAUUACUGGGCGUAAAGGGCCAGUAGGCGGCCAACUAAGUCCGACGUGAAAUCCCCAGGCUUAACCUGGGAACUGCGUCGGAUACUGGAUGGCUUGAAUUCGGGAGAGGGAUGCAGAAUUCCAGGUGUAGCGGUGAAAUGCGUAGAUAUCGGGAGGAACACCAGUGGCGAAGGCGACUUCCUGGCCUGUUCUUGACGCUGAGGCGCGAAAGCUAGGGUAGCAAACGGG
rnacentral:rRNA from 1 species